UGGCUCUUGCAUCGAUGAAGAACGCAGCGAAAUGCGAUAAGUAAUGUGAAUUGCAGAAUUCAGUGAAUCAUCGAAUCUUUGAACGCACCUUGCGCUCCUUGGUAUUCCGAGGAGCAUGCCUGUUUGAGUGUCAUGAACACCCUCAACUCCCGCUCCGCGUCUUGAUUGACCGGAGGGGUGGGUUGGACUUGGGGGAGUUGCCGGCUGUAAAGCCGGCUCCCCUUGAAUGCAUUAGCUCGGACCUGCCAGUAAUCGGACUUGCGGCGGUGUAAUGAUUUUAUUACCACCUGCCUUUGCUUGACCGAGGCGAAUUGGGCCGGCUUCUAACUGUCCGUGACCGGACUUGAGAUUUCAGUCAUUGACCUCAAAUCAGGUAGGACUACCCGCUGA
rnacentral:misc_RNA from 1 species